GACGAACGCUGGCGGCGUGCCUAAUACAUGCAAGUUGAGCGCUGAAGGUUGGUACUUGUACCGACUGGAUGAGCAGCGAACGGGUGAGUAACGCGUGGGGAAUCUGCCUUUGAGCGGGGGACAACAUUUGGAAACGAAUGCUAAUACCGCAUAAAAACUUUAAACACAAGUUUUAAGUUUGAAAGAUGCAAUUGCAUCACUCAAAGAUGAUCCCGCGUUGUAUUAGCUAGUUGGUGAGGUAAAGGCUCACCAAGGCGAUGAUACAUAGCCGACCUGAGAGGGUGAUCGGCCACAUUGGGACUGAGACACGGCCCAAACUCCUACGGGAGGCAGCAGUAGGGAAUCUUCGGCAAUGGACGAAAGUCUGACCGAGCAACGCCGCGUGAGUGAAGAAUGUUGUCGGAUCGUAAAACUCUGUUGGUAGAGAAGAACGUUGGUGAGAGUGGAAAGCUCAUCAAGUGACGGUAACUACCCAGAAAGGGACGGCUAACUACGUG
rnacentral:rRNA from 1 species